AGUGAACGCUGGCGGUAGGCCUAACACAUGCAAGUCGAACGGCAGCACAGUAAGAGCUUGCUCUUACGGGUGGCGAGUGGCGGACGGGUGAGGAAUACAUCGGAAUCUACUUUUUCGUGGGGGAUAACGUAGGGAAACUUACGCUAAUACCGCAUACGACCUACGGGUGAAAGCAGGGGAUCUUCGGACCUUGCGCGAUUGAAUGAGCCGAUGUCGGAUUAGCUAGUUGGCGGGGUAAAGGCCCACUAAGGCUACGAUCCGUAGCUGGUCUGAGAGGAUGAUCAGCCACACUGGAACUGAGACACGGUCCAGACUCCUACAGGAGGCAGCAGUGGAGAAUAUUGGACAAUGGGGGCAAGCCUGAUCCAGCCAUACCGCGUGAGUGAAGAAGGCCUUCGGGUUGUAAAGCCCUUAUGUUGGGAAAGAAAAGCAGCAGGUUAAUACCCCGCUGUUCUGACGGUACCCAAAGAAUAAGCACCGGCUAACUUCGUG
rnacentral:rRNA from 1 species